UACGUAGGGGGCAAGCGUUGUCCGGAUUUAUUGGGCGUAAAGAGCGUGUAGGCGGCCAGAUAGGUCCGUUGUGAAAACUCGAGGCUCAACCUCGAGACGCCGAUGGAAACCAUUUGGCUAGAGUCCGGAAGAGGAGAGUGGAAUUCCUGGUGUAGCGGUGAAAUGCGCAGAUAUCAGGAGGAACACCGGUGGCGAAGGCGGGUCUCUGGGCCGUAACUGACGCUGAGGAGCGAAAGCGUGGGGAGCGAACAGG
rnacentral:rRNA from 1 species